rnacentral:rRNA from 1 species
GAUGAACGCUGGCGGCGUGCCUAAUACAUGCAAGUCGAGCGAACAGACGAGGAGCUUGCUCCUCUGACGUUAGCGGCGGACGGGUGAGUAACACGUGGAUAACCUACCUAUAAGACUGGGAUAACUUCGGGAAACCGGAGCUAAUACCGGAUAAUAUAUUGAACCGCAUGGUUCAAUAGUGAAAGACGGUUUUGCUGUCACUUAUAGAUGGAUCCGCGCCGCAUUAGCUAGUUGGUAAGGUAACGGCUUACCAAGGCAACGAUGCGUAGCCGACCUGAGAGGGUGAUCGGCCACACGGGAACUGAGACACGGUCCAGACUCCUACGGGAGGCAGCAGUAGGGAAUCUUCCGCAAUGGGCGAAAGCCUGACGGAGCAACGCCGCGUGAGUGAUGAAGGUCUUCGGAUCGUAAAACUCUGUUAUUAGGGAAGAACAAAUGUGUAAGUAACUAUGCACGUCUUGACGGUACCUAAUCAGAAAGCCACGGCUAACUACG